rfam:Otolemur garnettii contig036835, whole genome shotgun sequence.
GCGCCUGUGGCUCAAAAGGGUAGGGCACCAGUCUCAUAUGCCGGAGGUGGCAGGUUCAAACCCAGCCCAGGCCA